rnacentral:rRNA from 1 species
CCCUAGUUCUGACCGUAAACGAUGCCAACUAGCGAUCCGCCGAUGGAGAUUAUAUUGCCUUGGUGGGGAGCUUCCCGGAAACGAAAGUCUUCCGGUUCCGGGGGAAGUAUGGUUGCAAAGCUGAAACUUAAAGGAAUUGACGGAAGGGCACCACCAGGAGUGGAGCCUGCGGCUUAAUUUGACUCAACACGGGGAAACUCACCCGGCCCGGACACUGUGAGGAUUGACAGAUUGAUAGCUUUUUCAUGAUUCAGUGGAUGGUGGUGCAUGGCCGUUCUUAGUUCGUGGAGUGAUUUGUCUGGUUUAUUCCGAUAACGAGCGAGACUCUAACCUACUAAAUAGCUGAUACAUGAUUUUGUGUAUUCGGYUUCUUAGAGGGAUUUGCGGUGUUCAGCCGAAAGAAAUUGAGCAAUAACAGGUCUGUGAUGCCCUUAGAUGUCCGGGGCUGCACGCGCGCUACACUGGCAAAAUCAACGUGCUUGUCCURCCCCGAAAGGGGUGGGUAAACCAUUGAAAAUUUGCCGUGAUUGGGAUCGGAAAUUGCAAUUAUUUUCCGUGAACGAGGAAUUCCAAGUAAGUGCGAGUCAUCAGCUCGCGUUGAUUAC